CACCAUGGCGGACCGCAGUGAGAAACGGUCGAAAAAGGUCACUUCUGUGUAUUGUUGUGUUGGAGGGUGCCACAACAGCUAUAAAAACACCGCAGGAAAGCUGCCAAAGGUGAUAUUCUACCGAUUCCCCUGGAGGAAGUACGAAAAUGACAGAAGAGGACAGUGGAUCAGGGCUGUGCAACGAACAAGGCCGGAGAGGCAGCUGUGGCAGCCUGUGCGGGGCGAGAGUCGCGUAUGCAGCGCGCACUUCGUGGGAAACAAAAAGAGCUCCGUUGCGAUGCACCCUUCUUAUCUGCCAACGAUAUUUCCGUCGUGCGGCGGAAGAAGCAACGGCGUUUCAGCGCAGUCAAAGCUCGACAGAUACAACAGAGCUCAGCGGCGAGCCUCGGCAAGCAUGGCGACAGCAAGCAUGGCGACAGCAGGCGUGGAAACGGCAGGCAUAGCGACUUCAGAAGCUUCAGGUGUGGACGAGCUGAGUGACACUCCAGCACCAGAGGCCCAGUCACAGCGCUUUGCAUCUGUGAUGACUCAGACUGACGACGCCGCAAAGGGAGGUACCUGCACACUGUUCUUGUCAGUGACAUCUCAUGGCUUGGCAUCGACCCAGGUGUGCCACAGUGCCACUGUCGACAGUGGUGUGCAGACGCAGAUGUCCACAAGCUCAACAGCUGCCGGACCAGACGAGCGAACCUGUAGCUUUCUGGGCUACAACUCGCUUGUAGAAAGGAAGGACGCAUUCAGAGAAUUGUGUGGAGUUGACGCCAAUGUUUUUUCCCUUCUAAUGUCUGUGCUGUCACCUCUUGUUGUGAGAUCAAUUGAUGUCCCCAUGUCACAAAAAUUGACUAUCUUUUUAAUGAAAAUGAAACUCGGUGUUUCUUUCGCAAGUAUUGGAGUACUUUUCGGGCUUCACCGCACCACAGUCAGCAGGAUUUUUUUCUUUGUUUUAAGCAACUUGCUUAGCGCAAUGCAGAGGUGGAUCCCAUGUCCAUCACGCACAACUGUGCAGUCAACUAUGCCCGACUGUUUUGUCCGCCACUAUCCACAGUGCAGGUACAUAAUCGACUGCACGGAGAUCAGAACAGAGGAGCCACCCACCAUAGAACAGAGGCGUGCACUGUUUUCCCAUUACAAAGGCUGCUACACGUUGAAGUUCUUAAUUGGCAUAUUGCCCAAUGGAACUGUCACCUUUGUGUCGGAAGCUUAUGGGGGGCGGACUUCAGACACCCACAUCACAGUAGAGUCUCGAUUUCUAGACCGUCUAGAACCAGGCGACGUAGUGUUGGCUGACAAAGGCUUCCCUGGCAUAAGAGCUCCGGCUGAAAGUCAUAGUGGUAUUGUUGUCCUGCCUCCCUUUUCAAAAAGUAGUGCACAACUUACAUUGGAAGAGCUUCAGCAGACCUACCAUAUUGCCCAAGUGCGCGUGCAUGUUGAAAGGGCUAUACAAAGAAUAAAGAUGUUCAACAUUGCAAAUUCUAGAGUACCAAAUGAACUUAUUCCCCACAUGAGCGACAUUAUGAGAAUGUGCUGCAUUCUUGUUAACCUGCAGCCCCCGAUUAUUAAUGUCUCUUAGUCUGGUUAGGCUGCUAUUUGAAUUAUUUGCACUGCCAAAAAUUGCAAAAGCCUGAGUGAAAUGAAUGCAGCCGUGAAAUGCCUACAUUUAGUUGUCCAGAGUAAUAAUAUCUGGGGUUUAACGUCCCAAAACCACGAUAUGAUUAUGAGAGACGCCGUAGUGGAGGGCUCUGGGAAUUUCGACCACCUGGGGUUCUUUAAUGUACACAUAAAUCUAAGUACACGGGCCUCAAACAUUUUCGCUUCCAUCGAAAAUGCAGCCGCCGCGGCCGGGAUUCGAUCCCGCGACCUUCGGGUCAGCAGCCGAGCGCCAUAACCACUAGACCACCGUGGCGGGGCUUAGUUGUCCAGAGAGCGGUCUGUUCUGUUUUGUGUCGAAGAAGCAUUGGAGGUGAUGUGGUAGUAAAAUAAAUCAAAACUGUAUGCUGAUACAGAUGCAUUUAGUAGUCAUAGCAACAGCUGUGACCAGUGAUACCUGUUGUCUUUCAUUUGUGGCUUUUUUUGUUUGCUUGGAUUGCCAAGGUAUGCUGAUACAGAUGCAUUCAGUAGUCAUAGCAACAGCUGUGACCAGUGAUACCUGUUGUCUUUCAUUUGUGUUUUUUUUUGUUUGCUUGGAUUGCCAAGGUAUGCUGAUACAAAUGCAUUCAGUAGUCAUAGCAACAGCUGUGACCAGUGAUACCUGUUGUCUUUCAUUUGUGGCUUUUUUUGUAUGCUUGGAUUGCCAAGGUUCCAAUAGUAAUACCUGGAAUUUUACACUUUAAAACCUAGAUAUGAUUAUGAGGUAUGCGGUAGUGUAGGGCUCUAGAAAUUUUCAAAACCUAGUGUUUUUUAACGUACAGCUAAGUACACAGACAUCUAGCAUUUCGCCUCUAUCGAAAUGCAACUGCUAUGGCCAGGUUUGAACCUGCGUCCUUUGGGUCAACAGCUGAGCACCAUAACCACUAUAGCACCCUGGUGGCUGGGGUGACUGAUGCAACUGUGUGUGGGGGCUUGCUCAAAAAAAAAGGGUUGUCGGAUCAAGAAGCACAUUUGCAUGACGCUUGGUUACACAUUGCUUAGCGUACUUGUUGGCUUUGUCUACAAGAGAUACUGUUUAGCACAGUUCUUGACUGUGGCAUUUUUUUACACUUCACUUUUAAUAGGCAGAGUUAUGUGUUUCCUAAGAGGACGAGAAGGCUAGCACAUGCUUGUUACUAAUCUUGCUGUUUGUGCGAGAGAUAAUGCUUAGCACAGCUCUUGAUGGUAGCAUUUUAUACACUGCACCUUUUAAGAGGCAUAGUUAUGUUUUGCCUAGGAGACUGAGGAGGUCAGCAACUGCUUAUUACUAAUUUUGCUGUUUGUGCAAGUGUUUCUCACAACCAUGCAUAACAGGAAAAGUAGUUCCCAUGGUUGUACCUUAAACAGGUGACACAUCACUCGUGCAAAGUUGCAAAAGAUGGACAUCACUCAUUAUGUGAAACAUAUGGCCAUGCUCACUAUGUUUGGUUUAGGUUGGCACAUAUCAUUUGAGCAAGGUCUUGAACUUGUGAUUGUUCCGGUAUGCUUUUUUUUGUUCGCCUAAACUGUUGAAAUGUAUAAAGGCUCGCUGCAAGUCGGUGUUAUUUAAACUGCAAUGCGUUGACAAAAACACCACUGCAAUUAAAAGGGUCGUGGCAAGUUUGGUGAGGAAUGUUGCAUUGCAAUGCGUGAACACGUCUGCGUCAUAUGUGUUGAGUGUUUGAGUUAAUGAUACCUGAAGGUAAUACAUGUGAAUUGUGAUUAUUGCUGGAUCACCUUCUCACCUGGCCUGAGAUGUAUUAGGAAACGUGAGAUAGCUGUUGAACACUGCUGAAUUUACUCGUGCAGACAGAAUUUUACUGCUAUUUAUUUAUUUUAGAAGGACUGACAA
rnacentral:misc_RNA from 1 species